rnacentral:rRNA from 1 species
UGGAAACUGUCUGACUNGAGUGCAGAAGGGGAGAGUGGAAUUCCAUGUGUAGCGGUGAAAUGCGUAGAUAUAUGGAGGANCACCAGUGGCGAAAGCGGCUCUCUGGUCUGUCACUGACGCUGAGGCUCGAAAGCGUGGGUAGCGAACAGGAUUAGAUACCCUGGUAGUCCACGCCGUAAACGUUGAGUGCUAGGUGUUAGGCCCUUUCCGGGGCUUAGUGCCGGAGCUAACGCAAUAAGCACUCCGCCUGGGGAGUACGACCGCAAGGUUGAAACUCAAAGGAAUUGACGGGGGCCCGCACAAGCGGUGGAGCAUGUGGUUUAAUUCGAAGCAACGCGAAGAACCUUACCGGGUCUUGACAUCCCGAUGCUAUUCUUAGAGAUAGGAAGUUACUUCGGUACAUCGGAGACAGGUGGUGCAUGGUUGUCGUCAGCUCGUGUCGUGAGAUGUUGGGUUAAGUCCCGCAACGAGCGCAACCCUUAUUGUUAGUUGCCAUCAUUAAGUUGGGCACUCUAGCGAGACUGCCGGUAAUAAACCGGAGGAAGGUGGGGAUGACGUCAAAUCAUCAUGCCCCUUAUGACCUGGGCUACACACGUGCUACAAUGGUCGGUACAACGAGUUGCGAGCCGGUGACGGCAAGCUAAUCUCUGAAAGCCGAUCUCAGUUCGGAUUGGAGGCUGCAACUCGCCUCCAUGAGGUCGGAAUCGCUAGUAAUCGCGGAUCAGCACGCCGCGGUGAAUACGUUCCCGGGCCUUGUACACACCGCCCGUCACACCACGAGAGUUUGUAACACCCGAAGUCGGUGAGGUAACCUUUUAGG